AGAAAAAGCUUCUCUUAACAAGCCACUAAAUGAAGUUUCUGCGCGCUCGGUCGAAGAGGACGACCUUCCUCGAAUAGAGGAGGACCGGUCUUCAGUCAAGGGUAUACGAGUAGCUGAGCUCCCCUGCUAGAACCUCCAAACAAGCUCUCAAGGUUCCUGAACAUGUUAAGUGUUACUUUGAAGUCCUUGUCUGAGUUUCAGCACAC
rnacentral:snRNA from 1 species